AACCUGUAAACUGUGUGGGGAAACUGUAUUUUACUGAGCUUGAAAUGACCUUCCGAACAUGGCUUUUUUUCUUCUGUGGAACAUAAAAUAAGAUGACAUAGAUUUUGGGAAAUGCACCUUGAUUCUUUUCUUUUUCAGCCAUUCUGUUGUAGAUUUGCUUAUAAUCUUCAGAUCAUUGUCCUGUUGCAUGACCCAAUUUUGGCCAAGCUUUAGCUCUAGGACGGAUGGCCUCACAUUUGACUCUAGAAUACUUUGGUAUAUAGAGGAGUUCAUGGUCGACUCAAUGAGGUGCCCAGUUCCUGUGCUUGAUACAUGAAGAGAGAGAAGAAGCUUUCUCCUGGCAACCCUUCCAAACAUGCCAUACUUGUCCCGUCUUUUUCUAAUUGUACUGUCAUGAACUUUAUCAUUCAUAAUGUUAACUGAGGCCUGUAGAGUCUGAGGUGUAGUUCUUGGGUUGUCUGCAAUUUCUCUGAGCAUUACACGGUCUGAUCUUUGGGUGAAUUUGCUGGGACGUCCACUCCUGGGAAGAAUGAUGUCUGUUUUGAAUGUCUUCCACUUGUGAAUAAUCUUCCUCACUGUAGAAUGAUGGACUUCAGAUUGUUUGGAAAUGGUCGUAUAACCCUUCCCAGACUGAUUGCGGCAACAGUUGCUUCUCUAAGUUCAUUGCUGAUGUCUUUCCUGCUUGGCAUUGUGUUAACACACCUGAAUGCUCUAGACCAGCAAACUGCCAGAACUUCAGCUUUUAUAGAGAUGAAAAUACAUUUUAUUAGCAGCUCCUGACUGAUACUGACCCUCUUAAUUCCUAAGGAAACAAUAAGGGUGUCCUUAGUUUGUCACCCAUGGCUUUUCCAUUUUGGUCUUUUUGUUAAAUAAAUAAUGACACGGUUUGAUAUGUCAUGCGUUGAUGUUCAUCUGAGGUUUUAUUUUCCAAAUUUCAAGACCUGCCAAGGAGCAGAUGAUUUUUUUUUUAUGUCCUGUUACGGAAAACCAUGGAAUUCAAUAGGGUGUCCUAACUUUUUCAUAUGACUGUAUAUUCACACCUGUACACUCUCACACAGGCAGAGAGAAUAAAAUGAAUGGAAGUCUA